GAACUCGAUGCUGCUUAUUUGCGAUUUUGCAGCACUGGAUACAAGGCCUGCAAGAUGAAUUAUUACUAGUUAUGAAGCCGUUAGGCUUCAUUCUACCAAAAAAAAACAAACCUCAAGAUAUUUCAUGUCAUAAAAGUUUUUAAUGAGACCCAAGUAACUUCUUUUCAAAUAAAAUGUGAUAUAUAAUAUGAGACCGUGAUAGAUCUUUCAAGUAGAAGACUAUUGUGAUCAUUCA
rnacentral:lncRNA from 1 species